ACGCACGUAACCUUCCCUCGCUGUUACCUUGCCAGUCGCAGGCAUGGCGGCCAUGAGCCUCCUGCUCCGAGCGGCGGCUGCUUUCGCGGCCAGGAGGACCUUUCCCGGCCCGGGUCUCUGGGGUCGCUUCUCCCUGCCUGGGCGAGCCGCCGGCCGCUCUGUGCUCAUCGCUCCGGUACGCCAUGGCAGUGGAGGUGGGAAAAGAAUGUUCGUCAUCCAGGCGA